rfam:Opisthorchis viverrini opera_v5_349.1, whole genome shotgun sequence.
GCUGGGCGUGGUGGCGUGCGCCUGUAAUCUAGCUACUUGGAGGCCGGAUGGCGGAAUUUCUCGGGGACGGGAGUUCUGGUGCUGACUCGCGCAUGUUGAUCGGGCGUCCACGCUAAGCACGGCGCCGAUAUGGAUGGUCAGUCGGAAGGCAGGCUGUCCAGGUCGCCUAAGGAGGGGCGAACCGGCCCAGGGAGGAAACCCAGCAGGCAAAAGUCCCCGCGUGGUGCGGUAGAGGAAUAGCGUCUGUGAAUGGCGAGUCAGAGGCAGCCCGGCUGGCGCAGAAAGACUGCCUUCUUU